rnacentral:rRNA from 1 species
ACGGGUGCGUAACGCGUGGGAAUCUGCCCUUUGGUUCGGAAUAACAGUUGGAAACGACUGCUAAUACCGGAUGAUGACGAAAGUCCAAAGAUUUAUCGCCAGAGGAUGAGCCCGCGUAGGAUUAGCUAGUUGGUGUGGUAAAGGCGCACCAAGGCGACGAUCCUUAGCUGGUCUGAGAGGAUGAUCAGCCACACUGGGACUGAGACACGGCCCAGACUCCUACGGGAGGCAGCAGUGGGGAAUAUUGGACUAUGGGCGAAAGCCUGAUCCAGCAAUGCCGCGUGAGUGAUGAAGGCCUUAGGGUUGUAAAGCUCUUUUACCCGGGAUGAUAAUGACAGUACCGGGAGAAUAAGCUCCGGCUAACUCCGUGCCAGCAGCCGCGGUAAUACGGAGGGAGCUAGCGUUGUUCGGAAUUACUGGGCGUAAAGCGCACGUAGGCGGCUUUGUAAGUUAGAGGUGAAAGCCUGGAGCUCAACUCCAGAACUGCCUUUAAGACUGCAUCGCUUGAAUCCAGGAGAGGUGAGUGGAAUUCCGAGUGUAGAGGUG